rnacentral:rRNA from 1 species
ACAAUUGGAGAGUUUGAUCCUGGCUCAGAGUGAACGCUGGCGGCGUGGAUUAGGCAUGCAAGUCGAACGACCCCCCCUGCUUUCUUGCGAAAGCAAGAAGGGGGGGUAGUGGCAAAAGGGUGAGUAACGCGUGAGCAAUCUGCCUUCGAGUGGGGAAUAACCUUGCGAAAGCGAGGCUAAAACCGCAUAAGACCACGGCUCGGCAUCGAGUCGAGGUAAAAAGUGGGGACCCUGCACCACUGCGAAAGCAGUGGCGCGAGGCCCAUUGCUUGAAGAUGAGCUCGCGCCCUAUCAGCUAGUUGGUGAGGUAACGGCCCACCAAGGCUAUUGACGGGUAGCUGGUCUGAGAGGAUGGUCAGCCACAUUGGGACUGAGACACUGCCCAGACUCCUACGGGAGGCUGCAGUCGAGGAUAUUUAGCA